rnacentral:rRNA from 1 species
GACGAACGCUGGCGGCGUGCCUAAUACAUGCAAGUAGAACGCAGUUGCGAACGGGUGAGUAAAGCGUAGGUACCUGCCUCAUAGCGGGGGAUAACGAUUGGAAACGAUAGCUAAUACCGCAUACUGUGAGAUGGCCCUGCGUGGUAUUAGCUAGUUGGGGAGGUAAAGGCCCACCAAGGCGACGAUACAUAGCCGGUCUGAGAGGGUGAACGGCCACACUGGGACUGAGACACGGGCCAGACUCCUACGGGAGGCAGCAGUAGGGAAUCUUCGGAAAUGGACGGAAGGCUGACCGAGCAACGCCGCGUGAGUGAAGAAGGUUUUCGGAUUGUAAAGCUCUGUUGUUAGAGAAGCGGUACCUAACCAGAAAGGGACGGCUAACUACGUGCCAGCCGCCGCGGUAAUUC